GUGGGGAAUAUUGGACAAUGGGCGAAAGCCUGAUCCAGCCAUGCCGCGUGUGUGAAGAAGGCCUUUUGGUUGUAAAGCACUUUAAGCGAGGAGGAGGCUACCGAGAUUAAUACUCUUGGAUAGUGGACGUUACUCGCAGAAUAAGCACCGGCUAACUCUGUGCCAGCAGCCGCGGUAAUACAGAGGGUGCAAGCGUUAAUCGGAUUUACUGGGCGUAAAGCGCGCGUAGGUGGCCAAUUAAGUCAAAUGUGAAAUCCCCGAGCUUAACUUGGGAAUUGCAUUCGAUACGUGUUGGCUAGAGUAUGGGAGAGGAUGGUAGAAUUCCAGGUGUAGCGGUGAAAUGCGUAGAGAUCUGGAGGAAUACCGAUGGCGAAGGCAGCCAUCUGGCCUAAUACUGACACUGAGGUGCGAAAGCAUGGGGAGCAAACAGGAUUAGAUACCCGGGUAGUCC
rnacentral:rRNA from 1 species